AUACGGAGGAUGCGAGCGUUAUCCGGAUUUAUUGGGUUUAAAGGGGGCGUAGGCGGACGAUUAAGUCAGCUGUGAAAUGCCUGCGCUUAACGCGGGCAGUGCAGUUGAUACUGGUUGUCUGGAGUGCCGUUGCCGUGGGGGGAAUGUGUAGUGUAGCGGUGAAAUGCAUAGAUAUUACACAGAACGCCGAUUGUGAAGACACCUCACGAAGCGGUAACUGACGCUGAGGCACGAAAGCGUGGGGAUCGAACAGGAUUAGAUACCCUGGUAGUCCGCACAGUAAACGAUGAAUACUUGUUUUCGGCGAUAUAAUGUCGGAGGCAAAGCGAAAGCGAUAAGUAUUCCACCUGGGGAGUACGCCGGCAACGGUGAAACUUAAAGGAAUGGACGGGG
rnacentral:rRNA from 1 species